GGAGACGCUGCUGUGCACCCCCCACCUGCUCCUUCCUUUGACAGGUUCCCCCUUUUCUCCUCACUCCUUCCCUACCUUGGAUUCCCUACCUUGGAUCCCCUUUUUGAUUCUGAUCAAAACUGAUUCUCCAUUCCCUUCCUUCCCUUGAAUCUCAGCCCCCAAGAGGGGAGAGGGUGCUCCCUCCAGCAAAAGAGAGGGAAGUGGGACGCGCCCUGGUUGUAGGGUAGGAUGGACGUAAAGAUGAACCCUCACCUUCCUGGGAGAACCAGUACCCAGGAGGAGGAGGAGGAUGCAGGACAGCUUGGUGAAGGGCCUGGCUGCGUGCCAGGGGCGGGAGGUAUAGUCUUAUUUUUGGCUUUGGAGUCCCUUGGUGGGACAGAAAAGAUACUCGGUAUCCUAUUCAACCUCCACCCAGAGUUAAGAACCUGAGCCGAGGGCUGUGAGGAAGGAAACAUUCUGAAAGGACACGGGAGUGCCUGAAGGCGCACAGCCAGGACCUACAGUGUUUUGCCAUGUGCUCCUG